rnacentral:rRNA from 1 species
GCCUACGGGGGGCAGCAGUAGGGAAUCUUCCACAAUGGGCGAGAGCCUGAUGGAGCAACGCCGCGUGGGUGAAGAAGGUCUUCGGAUCGUAAAACCCUGUUGUUAGGGAAGAAAGUGCGUGAGAGUAACUGUUCACGUUUCGACGGUAUCUAACCAGAGAGCCACGGCUAACUACGUGCCAGCAGCCGCGGUAAUACGUAGGUGGCAAGCGUUAUCCGGAUUUAUUGGGCGUAAAGGGAACGCAGGCGGUCUUUUAAGUCUGAUGUGAAAGCCUUCGGCUUAACCGGAGUAGUGCAUUGGAAACU